AGAUAUUUAUAUUAUUAAUAGGAAAGUCAUAAAUAUAUAAAUUAUAUUAUAUAAUUUAUAUAAUAAUAAAUAAAUAAAUAAAUUAAUUAUUUAAUUAUAUAUUUUUUAUAUAUAAUAUAAAUAUAUUAAAUAAAAAUCAUAAAUUAUAAUAAAUAAUCUAAAUAAUAAAAAUAUCCCCCCGUGGGACCAACCAACCCUGUGAACAGCAGGGUUGUAAUGCGCCCGCGGGGGUUAUAUAAAUUAAUAUAAUAUUAAUAAAGUAAUUAAUAUAAAUAAAUAAUAUGAAAAUAAAACUUAAUAAAUAUAUAUAUAAUUCAUAUAUAUAUAUUAAUAAAAAUAAUAUAUAUAUAUAUAUAUGAAAUAGUUAUAUUAUUAUACAGAAAUAUGCUUAAUUAUAAUAUAAUAUCAA
rnacentral:RNase_MRP_RNA from 1 species